rnacentral:rRNA from 1 species
CGCCGGUGGAUUUUUAGCCCUGGUGGGUAGCUUCCCGGAAACGAAAGUCUUCCGGUUCCGGGGGAAGUAUGGUUGCAAAGCUGAAACUUAAAGGAAUUGACGGAAGGGCACCACCAGGAGUGGAGCCUGCGGCUUAAUUUGACUCAACACGGGGAAACUCACCCGGCCCGGACACCGUAAGGAUUGACAGAUUGAUAGCUCUUUCAUGAUUCGGUGGUUGGUGGUGCAUGGCCGUUCUUAGUUCGUGGAUCGAUUUGUCUGGUUUAUUCCGAUAACGAGCGAGACUCUAGCCUACUAAAUAGUAACGAGAUUAUCAAUGUCUCAGUUGCUUCUUAGAGGGAUUUUCGGUGUUUAGCCGCACGAGAUUGAGCAAUAACAGGUCUGUGAUGCCCUUAGAUGUCCGGGGCUGCACGCGCGCUACACUGGCGAAAUCAGCGUGCUGUAUCCAUUCUCGAAAGGGAUUGGUAAACCCAUGAAAAUUUGCCGUGCUUGGGAUCGGAAAUUGCAAUUAUUUUCCGUGAACGAGGAAUUCCAAGUAAGUGCGAGUCAUCA